ACUCUACACGUUUGCAAUUUUUGUACUACACAUAGGUACUGGACAAUUUUCAAAAUAUAUCCAGUGUCUAGUCUAGUGCAAACAUUGCUCGGUGUUGUUUGAAAA
rnacentral:pre_miRNA from 15 species